GACAGCAGCAGCCACGGUAAUACGUAGGUGGCAAGCGUUGUCCGGAAUUAUUGGGCGUAAAGCGCGCGCAGGCGGAUAGGUCAGUCUGUCUUAAAAGUUCGGGGCUUAACCCCGUGAUGGGAUGGAAACUGCCAAUCUAGAGUAUCGGAGAGGAAAGUGGAAUUCCUAGUGUAGCGGUGAAAUGCGUAGAUAUUAGGAAGAACACCAGUGGCGAAGGCGACUUUCUGGACGAAAACUGACGCUGAGGCGCGAAAGCCAGGGGAGCGAACGGGAUUAGAGACCCCCGUAGUCCCUGUCUCUUAUACC
rnacentral:rRNA from 1 species